rnacentral:rRNA from 1 species
UACGUAGGGUGCAGGCGUUAAUCGGAAUUACUGGGCGUAAAGCGUGCGCAGGCGGUUUGCUAAGACAGGUGUGAAAAUCCCCCGGGCUUAACCUGGGAACUGCGCUUGUAACUGGCAAGCUGGAGUGUGGCAGAGGGGGGGUGGAAUUCCACGUGUAGCAGUGAAAUGCGUAGAGAUGUGGAGGAACACCGAUGGCGAAGGCAGCCCCCUGGGUCAAGAUUGACGCUCAUGCACGAAAGCGUGGGGAGCAAACAGG